rnacentral:rRNA from 1 species
AUUGAACGCUGGCGGCGUGCUUAACACAUGCAAGUCGUGCGGUAACAGGCGUAGCAAUACGUGCUGACGAGCGGCGAACGGGUGCGUAAUACAUGGGGAAUCUGCCUUUUAGUGGGGAAUAACCCGGCGAAAGCCGGGCUAAUGCCGCAUAAGAUCUUCGGAUGAAAGCGGGGGAUCGUAAGACCUCGCGCUGAUAGAUGAGCCCAUGCCGGAUUAGCUAGUUGGUGAGGUAACGGCUCACCAAGGCGACGAUCCGUAGCUGGUCUGAGAGGACGGCCAGCCACACUGGGACUGAGACACGGCCCAGACUCCUACGGGAGGCAGCAGU